CUUGUUUAUUGGUCUUUUGGCUAAAAUCAAGCGUAGGGUCUGUUCUUAUCAGUUCAUAUCUAAUAGUCAUCUAUAGAAGGACAAUAUAUAAAAUGGAUUUUUGGAGCAGGGAGUUGGAAUAGGAGUUUUCUCUGGCCACUCCCUGCAUCAAGCUGGCAUUGUGGUAUCUUCAGAAACAGGGCACCUCCG
ensembl:snRNA U2 U2 spliceosomal RNA